UAAGGAAUAUUGCGCAAUGGGGGAAACCCUGACGCAGCAACGCCGCGUGGAGGAUGACACUUUUCGGAGCGCAAACUCCUUUUAUCAGGAAAGAAUAAUGACGGUACCUGAUGAAUAAGCACCGGCUAACUCCGUGCCAGCAGCCGCGGUAAUACGGGGGGUGCAAGCGUUACUCGGAAUCACUGGGCGUAAAGGACGCGUAGGCGGAUUAUCAAGUCUUUUGUGAAAUCUAGUGGCUUAACCACUAAACUGCUUAGGAAACUGAUAGUCUAGAGUAGGGGAGAGGUAGAUGGAAUUCUUGGUGUAGGGGUAAAAUCCGUAGAGAUCAAGAAGAAUACCCAUUGCGAAAGCGAUCUGCUGGAACCUAACUGACGCUGAGGCGUGAAAGCGUGGGUAGCAAACAGG
rnacentral:rRNA from 1 species